rnacentral:rRNA from 1 species
GAACCUUACCAGGUCUUGACAUCCUUUGACCACCCAAGAGAUUGGGCUUCCCCUUCGGGGGCAAAGUGACAGGUGGUGCAUGGUUGUCGUCAGCUCGUGUCGUGAGAUGUUGGGUUAAGUCCCGCAACGAGCGCAACCCUUGAUUUUAGUUGCCAGCAUUGAGUUGGGCACUCUAAGGUGACUGCCGGUGACAAACCGGAGGAAGGUGGGGAUGACGUCAAAUCAUCAUGCCCCUUAUGACCUGGGCUACACACGUGCUACAAUGGAUGGUACAAAGGGCAGCGAAACCGCGAGGUGAAGCCAAUCCCAUAAAGCCAUUCUCAGUUCGGAUUGCAGGCUGCAACUCGCCUGCAUGAAGCCGGAAUUGCUAGUAAUCGCGGAUCAGCAUGCCGCGGUGAAUACGUUCCCGGGUUUGUACACACCGCCCGUCACACCACGAGAGUUUGUAACACCCGAAGUCGGUGAGGCA